GGACGAACGCUGGCGGCGUGCCUAAUACAUGCAAGUCGAGCGCAGGAAAUAAACAGAACCCUUCGGGGUAAUGUUUAUGGAAUGAGCGGCGGACGGGUGAGUAACACGUGGGCAACCUGCCUGUAAGAUCGGGAUAACUCGCGGAAACGUGAGCUAAUACCGGAUAACACUUUUCAUCUCAUGGUGAGAAGAUAAAAGACGGUUUCGGCUGUCACUUACAGAUGGGCCCGCGGCGCAUUAGCUAGU
rnacentral:rRNA from 1 species